AGCAUCUCCAGGGAAGGCGGUGCUUUCCUAAAUUGUGUCUGAGAGGAGUAGAGGCUAUGCAGAAGGAAGGGUGGCAGAGAGUAUGGGCAGGAGGAAUAGGAAAAGACUCAGAGGCAGUCCACCACUCAGCAAAGGCAAGGCAUUCCUUGCCUUGUGUAAGGCAAGGAAUCCAGCGAGGAUGAGGCUGGAGGGCUCGGCAGGGGCUGGACUGAGUUAGGCUGAGUCAACCAGGCUGAAAUCUGCGAGGCGUGGAGAGAGGAUGGGAGUGGGAGACAGAGGCAGAAGCCAGCAGGGAGGUGCCUGCAUCCUCCAGAAGAAAGACGAUACAGAUACGCUGCAAGACAGGGGCCUGAAGGGAAGCAACCAUCGAAACAGAGAGAGCAAACGGGGGUCUACUUACGCACUCCAGGCCAGGAAGAAGACAGCGGUCAAGGUGUAGACUGCCAUGGGCAGACUGGUCCAAAGUUUUGGAGGCAGAGGCAUUUCCUGAGACCCAGCUUUGGAGUCCUUCUGCUCUAGGCAGACCCUGUCAAGUAACUGGAACUGUCAUGCAAAUUGAAGCAUAUGUGCCAUUCCUGGCAUUAACUGUAAA